rnacentral:tRNA from 1 species
UAGCUCAGUUGGUCAGAGCAUGGUGCUAAUAACACCAAGGCUGUGGGUUUGAUCCCCAU